UGUUGAGGCAACGGGAAAAUCGGAAGAAAAAGAAAGCUGUGAAGCGAGUGGUCUGGGCAGACGAAGUCGGUAGGAAGUUAUUGGUGAGCAAGGAUGUCAUUAAUGGUGAAGUGAAGACCUUACCUGAAGUUCGAUGUUCCAAGGCUCGAGACGAGGUUUGAGGCGCACGGGAAGGAGUUACUGCUGAGCAGCAAAGAGGAAAUGGGGUAGGUGAGGGAGAU
rnacentral:lncRNA from 1 species